AUCUAAGGUCAUGCCACUCUGAAUGUGCCCCACCUCGUCCGAUCCUGGAAGCUAAGCAGAGUUGGGCCUGGUUAGUACUUGGAUGAGAGACCACCUAGGAAGACCAGGUGCUGUAGGCA
rnacentral:rRNA from 1 species